UACGUAGGGGGCAAGCGUUGUCCGGAUUUACUGGGCGUAAAGGCGCGUAGGCGGCCAGCACAAGUCAGUUGUGAAAUCUCCGAGCUUAACUCGGAAAGGUCAACUGAUACUGUGCGGCUAGAGUGCGGAAGGGGCAACUGGAAUUCUUGGUGUAGCGGUGAAAUGCGUAGAUAUCAAGAGGAACACCUGCGGCGAAGGCGGGUUGCUGGGCCGACACUGACGCUGAUGCGCGAAAGCUAGGGGAGCGAACGGG
rnacentral:rRNA from 1 species